UCGAAAAACAUUAGCUAGAUUGCUAACUCUAAAUAUUAUAUAGAUAGCAAUGCAAUUGAUCUAACAGUACAUUUGAUGUUCUACAAAAACUUUCCAUUGAUAGACCUAUAUAGGCUACUUGAUAACUAUUCACCACAAAUGGCGCUCUCCACUCCAUUCUACCGGCACAUAAUCUCAAUUACAUACUAUGCUUGUAAAGUGGUGUUAUUUCCUCUAUAUUGACAGUUGAGAAAUAAUUGGUAUACUCAUAAAGCAGAGACGUUCCUCUUUUUUAACAGUAAGUUGUUUUAAAAACGGUCUUUCCUGCAAUUAGCCUACAUUUUGAAAUGUUGCUCAACUGUCAGUACGCUUGCGCCUAUCAGAAUGGAUCUCUUCCUUUACUCCGUGUGCAAAGAGUGGAGCGGGAGUGAGAGCCAGCAACGAAACAAGGAAACGGCAGAUACUUUCAUUGUGGGAAGCAGUUUUAGGUGUCAUACUCUGGCUGUUCCUCUAUGAACACAGAAGGUAUGUUGUUGCUUACCCUGCUGGCCAGACAGGACACGUCCAGACAGGAGACCCCCAGGGCUAUCAGACAAUGCCACACCUGUGGACACACACAAAGAGGGUAGGAGGUCAGAAGAGGGUCAUUGUACUCCCUAUAAUAGUUUACAAUGAAUCUUUCCAAACCCUGCAUUCAGUAUUCAGCAUUGAAAAGUAAUCACCUCAUUCUGAUGUUAAUAUACAGUGUUAUGUGCUAAUCUAGCCCGGUCCAUGGUGUUAUAAUAACUGCUAUAGUAACUCACCAGGUAGCCCACAAAGCAUAGGUAUGCUAUACAAAGAAAGCCCGCCAGCACAUAGAGAGCCACACUGCUUAGGCUGGUCACAUAGACCACCACAAAGUGCAUGUUGAUGGCACAGACCACCAGGAUGACCACCCCUCCGCCUAUCUUCCACACCCUGAGGAGCACAGGCACAGCUGAGAUGGUAAGUUGGCACAAUGAUAAAUUGUCACCGUCAUCACAUGUAUGAAAUCAUUUCUCUAUCAGUGCAAAUACAGAAAAUCUAACUGCAUUCCAAAAUGGCACCCUUAUUUCCUACAGGCCCUGUUCAAAAGUAGUAUAUUAUGUAGGGAAUAGUGCUGAGCGAUGAACCAAAAUUUCAGGGGGGGGUUCGGUUAUUAAACAGCUAAUUGACAGACGUCGGUUUAAUUAGUUUCUCUAGAGAAAUCAAGUAAUUCACAAGAUAAAUUAAGUCAAGAACUAUGUUGGACACUGGGCUCAUUGGAAGUUGUAGUUUUCAUUAGGCAAAUAUUCAACCUAGCUCAACGCAGAAACUUGGUAAUUAACUAUAAUGAAUGACCAUAAUCCAUUACGCCUGUUCUUUCCGGCCACAGAAAGAGGUGGAUACACACAGACCAUAGGAGACCGCAUGAAAGAGGAAUGACAACACAACGAAGAGAGGGACAGGCAGUUCGUGAGGUAGCUCUACCUGAUUGAUAGUUUAGCUACUACUAUCCUACCUAAAUAGGAUGACUUGUUCAAUGAGAAGCACAGAAAUAACAGAUGGUUGUCUGGCUGGCUGCUACUGCUUGAGCAGAGAUGAGAUGGAGUCUCGUGUGGCUCAGUUGGUAGCAUGGCGAGUGCAACACAAGGGUUGUGGGAUCGAUUCCCAUGGGGACCAGUUAAAAAAAAACAUAGCUUUCACUACUGUAAGUAACUCUUGAUAAGAGCAUCUGCUAAAAUAACUCAAAUGUUCCACUACAAGUCCAUGGUGUUUGCCUACAAAACAAAAAGAGGAACUGCCCCUUCCUACCGUCAGGCUAUGCUCAAACCCUUCAUCUCAACCCGAGCACUCCGUUCUACCAUCUCUGGUCUCUUGGCCCUCCCAACGAUAAUGGGAGGGCAGCCCCCACUCUGCCCAAUCUCUUCUCUGUCCUGGCACCCCAAUGUUGGAACCAGCUUCCCCUUGAAACUAGGACAGCAGAGUCCCUGCUCAUCUUCCAAAAGCACCUGAAACCAUAACUCUUCAAAUAAUAUCUUAAAUAAUCUCCUCACCUCAACUACUAUGCCUGUAAUAUGUGGUUGUCCCACCUAGCUAUCUUAAGAUGAAUCCACUCACUAACUGUAAGUCGCUCUGGAUAGGAGUGUCUGUUAAAUGACUCAAAAUGUAAAUGUAAAAUUAGAUGAUGAUUUAAAGGAAUUAAAUUAUAAAGUCAUCAAAUAAAAACUAAGUAAUAUACACAACUGAAAUAUUGUAUUAAAGUAAGUAAUGUGACUACAUUUUGGUUGAGAAGCAGUAAUAGGCAUUCACUACCAUCAUGGGGCUCUUAUUGUUUUAUUCUGUGUUGUUACAGAAUUCAACCCACUGUCAGUGGCAGGAAAAAGGCAGGUGAUGGCUGAGGGAAGCUCUAAAAUAAUUUUAAUGUCAUUAUUUCAAAAUGCAUUUAAUGUUUAAAAUAAUACUGAUGAUUUUUUAAUAACUGAACCAACCUCAAAAAGCACUAAUCGCUCAGCACAAGUAGAAAAGUAGGUUAUGUUUGAGACGCAUCCCUGUCAUCACGUCUAUGAAUUAAUUGGUCUAUCGGUGAAAACAUAGAACCAAUCGAAGUCAUAUAAUAAUAAUUUGGUGGGUGCUUAUAUUUUUCCUAUUUUAUGUAUGUAUGAAUUAUACGCAUCUGUGAAUCGGAAAUGUUUUUUUUUUUUUUUUUGCAUAUCACAACUCCCCUCAGAGUCAGGGUCAGCCAUUAUCAAAGGCAACCCUGGAGCAAUUAAGGUUAGGUGCCUUGCUCAAGGGCAUAUCGACAGAUUUUUCACCUUGCCGGCUCGAACAAGCGGUUACUGGCCCAACGCUCUAACCCCUACCUGGCAGGAGACCUGCCACCCAUCUCUGGGGUAGAGGGUUAUGAUGACUCACAGUCCAUUAGCGAAGUCAUUCAUGAUGGAUGUCAGACUGGUGAAGGUCAGGAUGGGGAUCAGAGCAAACGGCAGCUAUAGAACAAGGAAAGGCAGAAAGAACAGUUAAAACUGACUGCAUUCAGUCCCCUUCUAUACCUUUGAAUACAAGCAUCAGCAUAACACCCUAAAAGACUCCCAGCCAGCCCUGAUUAGCUGCACUGGGAGGACAGCAGUACCCAGUCUCCAUGGUGUUCCCUCUCUAACCUGCAUGUCCCCAGACCCAGCCUCUACUCUCUCUGACCUGCCCCCUUGUCUCCUCUCUCUGACCUGCAUGUCCCCAGCCCUCAUGUCUCCUCUCUGUCAAGCCUCCCUGUCUCCUCUCUCUCUUUGUCCUCCAUGUCCCCAGACCUCCCACUCGCUCCGACCUGCAUGCUCUGCAGCACGUUGAGGAAGUCGUUCAUGCCCGUCAGGUGUUGCACGUCCUGGAAGAUGGCCACCAGCAGGGUGGGGAAGAUGGCGAUGGAGCGGGUGAGAAGAA